UACGUAGGGUGCAAGCGUUGUCCGGAAUUAUUGGGCGUAAAGAGCUCGUAGGCGGUUUGUCGCGUCUGCUGUGAAAACUCGGGGCUUAACCCCGGGCCUGCAGUGGGUACGGGCAGACUAGAGUGCGGUAGGGGAGACUGGAAUUCCUGGUGUAGCGGUGAAAUGCGCAGAUAUCAGGAGGAACACCAGCGGCGAAGGCGGCGCUCUGGGCCGGAACUGACGCUGAGGAGCGAAAGCGUGGGUAGCAAACAGG
rnacentral:rRNA from 1 species